rnacentral:lncRNA from 1 species
AUGUAGGAGGGCAAAGCAUUCCUCAACCCCUUUUCUUUUUCUCUCCUCCCCUCUCGUCGUUUCAUAUCUUUUCAGAGGUGAACUCACUCCUUCUGCACCAUCUGUGUCAUGCAGCACAUAAGCACUGAGCUGUCCUGGCUGGAUACUGGAUGCUUCCGCCGUGUUGGAUGUGUUCUUGGAUGACACAACCUCGUCACAAAACAUCUGCUCAGGUGCCAAAGGAAUUCUCAUCCACACGUAGCUUCAUUUCAGCAGCUUCACAUUAGCGAGCCACCGUUGCACUCACUGUGAAAGACUUGAAAACUGGUUCCCUCGUGAUGCAUGAAGGUCCGGUAGCUGCACUGCCUGUUCAGCAGCAGCCCAACAGGCAUACUUACCCCCAGGCUGUGGGUGACCUACAAGGUCAAGUUCCCUUCCUGUCUCAAAGCUCCAGCAGCAAACUGAGAACCAUGUCUGAACCUGUCCCUGUGCUGUGCUGUGCCCCUGAUCCUGUGGACAGUCAUGCUCAAAGAUGGAAGGAGAUGAAGAUGGACAUCGCCUCCCCCUGUAAUGACUCACAGCAGAGCGGACACUGUGAGCGCAGCCAGAGCUCAGACGUGGCUCCUGGAACAGGUCUGGACUUGGAGCUGUCAGACGUGGACAGUGGGGCUGCAGUGGAUUUGAAAAACUGUGGAGACAUAUCAACUCAGCAGCAAGAAGGGAGCCCUGUAGAUACCUCAUUAUCUGAUCCUGCUUCCUCACCAGCCCUGGAUAAGAGGAGUCACAAACAGCUUCCAGCAUCAGUGAAUGAUUCAGAAGAGUGUUCAGUUGAUCUGCUUCGGAUAGUGAAGCACAAACCGAGUGCCAUUGUGUUUCGUGACCAUAAAUGUAGCUCUGACAACCAGGUGACCGUUGCCAAUGACAGCUCCGACAGCGGGGGCUCCUCCUCAUCCAACACCAAAGAGGUAGAGAGCGAUGAUGGCGAUGAGGAAGACGACUUUCCCGAUGCCCUGCAGUAUAAGGAAUUCCUGGUCAGCCGUCGGCGCAGACACUUGAGCAGGAACAGGAAGUGCUCGAGGAAGAGGCAGGAUGCCCAGCCUAAUGGCACCGUGGCGAGGCCCGACAGCGAGAGCAAACCUGAGUUCACAGGUAGCCAGGAGGAACAGGAAAUACCGCAGAACAAUGGAGCACAGGCUGCAGCGUGUGACUCCAUGAACAUACUGAUGAAAAAGUUGGAUCACCUAAAUGAGGAAAUCCAGGAAGCCCAAAGUGCUAAUUCUUCUUACGGAGACGAGGAGGAUGUCGACAAGGAGCGGCAGAGCACCGCGGGUGCUCCGGCUUUGGGCACGACGGCGAGCCGAGCGCUGAGUCAGGAUCAGGGAACCUCCAAACCUCCAGACAAACAUGAGCCACUGACGAGGCGCCCCUCGCGACCUUUGACCCGCAGCAGACCGCUGACCCGCUCGUCCCUCUCGUCCCCUACACAUCUCCACAUUCGACGGGUCAGGGUGAGCGACACUCUCCCUCUGUGCGUGUGUCUGGUAGCGUUGGAGACAUAACAUAUUUUAUUUUUCACAUUGUUAGAGCUGUCCUCUCUUUGAAAGCACACUGACCUCUUAUGCCCCUCUGUUGUAUUUCACAUCUUACAAUGGGAAGUUCCACCCUAAGCUCUUUACAGAAGAGUAAAUGUUUCCCUCACUUUCUCUUCUGGCUAUCGUAUCAUGUCUCCUCCCUCCUUCUUUCGCUAUUUGGGCCUCUGUCCAGUCUGCGUGUCCCCUGCUGUUGUGUAAAUAAGGUGAAAGUAAAAGGAUGAGACAGCUCUGCUCCAUCCAGCAACAUGCAAGGUCAUCGUUUUUCUGUGUCAGCACUGCGGCAACAACAAAAAACCACCACACAUGCUGUAGAUAUCACUGCUCAACAUGCACAACUGUGAGUCAGAUGAAGAGAGGGGGAAAAGGCAAAACCAGCUCUGUAGAUCUCUACAACAGUACCAGGCUGCUUUUUUCUUACCAUUUCAACAGUAUCUUCAUCAGUGGAUGGAGUUUGGUUAGUUGUCAUGGACAUAGAUUGGUUGGCGUGCGAACUGAGUAGCUGUUAGCUGUUCACGUCGUCUCAAGGGUAAAAGCGCUAUCUCGAAGAGUUAAGUCUUGUUUCGUUUACUAGUGGUUACAGCAAAUGUGGUUUAACACCCCGGGUCACAGAAAUAACGGAGCAGCAAAUAAUUGGCCAUUUUGAAUCACUCUGUAGGCCACCGUCUUCUGAUUUCAUGCGGCACGAGUCUGAACUGGAGUCUAGAUCGAAAGGAGUUGGUUACUUAAAUGAGAAGAUGGAGGUGUUAAACUUGUCCUCUGCUACUCUUCAUCCAACAGAUCACUGUGGCCACUCCCUCCUGCUCAAUCAGUCCAUGCAAUAUUCCAAACUCAUCUG